GACGAACUGUCCUAACGUUGUUCGGAAUCACUGGGUGUAAAGGGCGCGUAGGCGGCCACCGCAAGUCGACUGUGAAAUCUCCGGGCUUAACCCGGAAAGGUCAGCCGAUACUGCGGGGCUAGAGUGCAGAAGGGGCAACUGGAAUUCUCGGUGUAGCGGUGAAAUGCGUAGAUAUCGAGAGGAACACCUGCGGCGAAGGCGGGUUGCUGGGCUGACACUGACGCUGAUGCGCGAAAGCUAGGGGAGCGAACGGG
rnacentral:rRNA from 1 species